rnacentral:rRNA from 1 species
UGAGACAGGUGCUGCAUGGCUGUCGUCAGCUCGUGUUGUGAAAUGUUGGUUAAGUCCCGCAACGAGCGCAACCCUUAUCCUUUGUUGCCAGCGGUCCGGCCGGGAACUCAAAGGAGACUGCCAGUGAUAAACUGGAGGAAGGUGGGAUGACGUCAAGUCAUCAUGGCCCUUACGACCAGGGCUACACACGUGCUACAAUGGCGCAUACAAAGAGAAGCGACCUCGCGAGAGCAAGCGGACCUCAUAAAGUGCGUCGUAGUCCGGAUUGGAGUCUGCAACCCAACUCCAUAAAGUCGGAAUCGCUAGUAAUCGUGGAUCAGAAUGCCACGGUGAAUACGUUCCCGGGCCUU